AUUGAACGCUGGCGGCAUGCUUUACACAUGCAAGUCGGUCGGCAGCGGGGGUGCUUGCACCUGCCGGCGAGUGGCGAACGGGUGAGUAACAUAUUGGAAUGUACCGAGUAGUGGGGGAUAACCAAUCGAAAGAUUGGCUAAUACCGCAUACGUCCUGAGGGGGAAAGCAGGGGAUCUUCGGACCUUGCGCUAUUUGAGCAGCCAAUAUCUGAUUAGCUAGUUGGUGGGGUAAAGGCCCACCAAGGCGACGAUCAGUAGCGGGUCUGAGAGGAUGAUCCGCCACACUGGGACUGAGACACGGCCCAGACUCCUACGGGAGGCAGCAGUGGGGAAUUUUGGACAAUGGGGGCAACCCUGAUCCAGCCAUGCCGCGUGUCUGAAGAAGGCCUUCGGGUUGUAAAGGACUUUUGUUAGGGAAGAAAAGGGAAGUGUUAAUACCACUUUUUGCUGACGGUACCUAAAGGAUAAGCACCGGCUAACUACGUGCCGGCAGCCGCGGUAAUACGUAGGGUGCGAGCGUUAAUCGGAAUUACUGGGCGUAAAGCGAGCGCAGACGGUUACUUAAGCAGGAUGUGAAAUCCCCGGGCUCAACCUGGGAACUGCGUUCUGAACUGGGUAGCUAGAGUAUGUCAGAGGGGGGUAGAAUUCCACGUGUAGCAGUGAAAUGCGUAGAGAUGUGGAGGAAUACCGAUGGCGAAGGCAGCCCCCUGGGAUAAUACUGACGUUCAUGCUCGAAAGCGUGGGUAGCAAACAGG
rnacentral:rRNA from 1 species